CCUACGGGAGGCAGCAGUGAGGAAUAUUGGUCAAUGGACGAGAGUCUGAACCAGCCAAGUAGCGUGAAGGAUGACUGCCCUAUGGGUUGUAAACUUCUUUUAUAUGGGAAUAAAAUGUUCCACGUGUGGGAUUUUGUAUGUACCAUAUGAAUAAGGAUCGGCUAACUCCGUGCCAGCAGCCGCGGUAAUACGGAGGAUCCGAGCGUUAUCCGGAUGUAUUGGGUUUAGAGGGAGCGUAGGUGGAUUGUUAAGUCAGUUGUGAAAGUUUGCGGCUCAACCGUAAAAUUGCAGUUGAAACUGGCAGUCUUGAGUACAGUAGAGGUGGGCGGAAUUCGUGGUGUAGCGGUGAAAUGCUUAGAUAUCACGAAGAACUCCGAUUGCGAAGGCAGCUCACUGGACUGCAACUGACACUGAGGCUCGAAAGUGUGGGUAUCAAACAGGAUUAGAUACCCCAGUAGUC
rnacentral:rRNA from 1 species